CCUGCCUCCACAGCCUAUUAUGACAGGCUAUCAACUGUGGCCUGGGCAGCCACAGUUAGGCCUGAACUGCAUUGUCUAUAUGGAAGAGGAGGACUGAGGUCAGACAUCAAGGUCAAGACGGGAAAGGGAGUGAGGAGAACCCUUGACACUCUAGAAAUGGGGAGACUAAAGCUGAAAAAAGGAUACAUGAUGGACAAUGAUGCCUGGAUUAACCCAAAUAGGGAUUUCAGACAGAGAUUACACGGGUAUCCACCGCCUCCACCCCCACCCCCACGACCUACACAGCCGCAUACGGUCUCGGGCCAACCCCGGCUUCUUCAAUGCUCAGUGGUAAACCUGAACCCCUUUGAGGAGAGGAACACCAUCUUGGAGUUAGAGCAGGCCAACCAAAAACUGAAGGAUAUGAACCAGGAGCUGAGGGAGCAGCUCGAAGACAUCAUGGAGCCAAGGGAGAUGAGGCAUGACUUUAUGUGCCCCAACCAUCAGCAGCAAUUACAGAUCCUGUCUUGGAAUCUCAAAAAAGAUAUUGGAGAUGUGUUAAAGGAGGUGGAAGACAUACGAAUGGAAAUUCUUCGGGACAAGGCCCGGUACCACACUCUGACCAGGAAAGGCUUGCUUAUGCAGAAGAAGAAGCCGUCUCAGCCGCCCCCCCAGAUGUCCAGAUGACCAGAUGUCCAGG
rnacentral:lncRNA from 1 species